UGGGGAAUCUUGCGCAAUGGCCGAAAGGCUGACGCAGCGACGCCGCGUGUGGGAGGAAGCCCUUCGGGGUGUAAACCACUGUUGCCCGGGACGAAUAGCCCCUUCAUGGGGCCUGACGGUACCGGGUGAGGAAGCACCGGCUAACUCCGUGCCAGCAGCCGCGGUAAUACGGAGGGUGCGAGCGUUGUCCGGAAUCACUGGGCGUAAAGGGCGCGUAGGUGGCUUGGCAAGCGUGUGGUGAAAGCCCGGGGCUCAACCCCGGGUCUGCCGUGCGAACUGCUAUGGCUCGAGCACUGUAGAGGCAGGUAGAAUUCCGGGUGUAGCGGUGGAAUGCGUAGAGAUCCGGAAGAAUACCGGUGGCGAAGGCGGCCUGCUGGGCAGUGGCUGACACUGAGGCGCGACAGCGUGGGGAGCAAACAG
rnacentral:rRNA from 1 species